UGGGGAAUUUUGGACAAUGGGGCAACCUGAUCCAGCAAUGCCGCGUGUGUGAAGAAGGCCUUCGGGUUGUAAAGCACUUUUUGUCCGGAAAGAAAACGUCGUGGUUAAUACCCGUGGCGGCUGACGGUACCGGAAGAAUAAGCACCGGCUAACUACGUGCCAGCAGCCGCGGUAAUACGUAGGGUGCAAGCGUUAAUCGGAAUUACUGGGCGUAAAGCGUGCGCAGGCGGUCCGCUAAGACAGAUGUGAAAUCCCCGGGCUUAACCUGGGAACUGCAUUUGUGACUGGCGGGCUAGAGUAUGGCAGAGGGGGGUAGAAUUCCACGUGUAGCAGUGAAAUGCGUAGAGAUGUGGAGGAAUACCGAUGGCGAAGGCAGCCCCCUGGGCCAAUACUGACGCUCAUGCACGAAAGCGUGGGGGAGCAAAACAGGAUUCAGAUACCCUGGUAGUCCACGCCCUAAACGAUGUNAACUAGUUG
rnacentral:rRNA from 1 species